rnacentral:rRNA from 1 species
UACGGGGGGGGCUAGCGUUGUUCGGAAUUACUGGGCGUAAAGCGCACGUAGGCGGCUUUGCAAGUUAGAGGUGAAAGCCCGGGGCUCAACUCCGGAAUUGCCUUUAAAACUGCAUCGCUAGAAUUGUGGAGAGGUAAGUGGAAUUCCGAGUGUAGAGGUGAAAUUCGUAGAUAUUCGGAAGAACACCAGUGGCGAAGGCGGCUCACUGGCCCGGUACUGACGCUGAGGUGCGAAAGCGUGGGGAGCAAACAGG